rnacentral:lncRNA from 1 species
AGUUCCCUUCUGCCGCCCAGUCCCCAUCCUGGAGUGGAAGCUCUACCUUGGGUGCAACACAGUAAGAUGACGAGGCAAUGUUUCCAUCCCAGGAGAAGCAGCCGAGAGGACCUUAGGCUGCUGCCCCCAUCCGUCCACGAAGCACGCAGCUCUUAGAACUGGGGACCACUCAGAAAGAAGCUUGUUAUUGUCCCCAUGCCCAGGACAUUCAUGUCCAAGUCUUUUUGUGGACGCAUUUUUUUUCAUUUCUCUUGGAUGAAUAACUAAAAUUGCUGGGUCAUAUGGUAUUAGUGCUUAGGACGAGAAUAAGCUUAGAGAUGUAAAUCAAUUUAGAUUUUACCAAAAUAAAUAGCACAGGAGGCACCUGUGAAGCUGAUAUGUGGUUGACUGAAAUCCCAGGCAGAGUCGUCUAGUGUCAGAGUGCGGAGAACAUUCUGGAGGGGACAGGCCUGAGAGGCUAAUGACAAGCUGGGCCGUGAUGAGACACCUUCAAUUCUGGUUCAACGGAAAACGUUAAAUAAUGAAAGUCAGCAACUGGGCCCUUGGAGAUAAAUCUGAAAAUGAGCUGGCGGCUUUCUCAAAUUCAAAGAGCUUCUGUUCUGACUUCGGAUUUUCUAAUUAGCCGUCUCAGCGGCCGGUGACGAGCGCGGGGAGGGGUGUCGUGGCGGCAGCGUCUGCUGAGUGUCUGCGCGACAUUACAGUUCUAUUUCCUCUCAGAACAUGCUGAGGACAGCGGUUAUUUCUGCUGUGCACUUGCUCUUUAAACAUGUCAAAGGGAAAAGGCUGCCAAAAUUUUUAGUAAAAUAC